UACGUAGGUGGCAAGCGUUGUCCGGAUUUACUGGGCGUAAAGGGCUUGUAGGCGGUUUGUUACGUCCGCUGUGAAAACCCAGGGCUUAACCCUGGGCUUGCAGUGGAUACGGGCAGACUAGAGGUAGGUAGGGGAGAAUGGAAUUCCCGGUGUAGCGGUGAAAUGCGCAGAUAUCGGGAGGAACACCGGUGGCGAAGGCGGUUCGCUGGGCCUUACCUGACGCUGAGGAGCGAAAGCGUGGGGAGCGAACAGG
rnacentral:rRNA from 1 species